rnacentral:rRNA from 1 species
UACGGGGGGGGCAAGCGUUGUUCGGAAUUACUGGGCGUAAAGGGCUCGUAGGCGGCCAACUAAGUCCGACGUGAAAUCCCCAGGCUUAACCUGGGAACUGCGUCGGAUACUGGAUGGCUUGAGUUUGGGAGAGGGAUGCGGAAUUCCAGGUGUAGCGGUGAAAUGCGUAGAUAUCUGGAGGAACACCGGUGGCGAAGGCGGCAUCCUGGACCAACACUGACACUGAGGAGCGAAAGCCAGGGGAGCAAACGGG